CCGGGGCGGGAGAGGAGCCAGCCCGGGCGUCCGCUGUGACUCUCAGACGUACCUGUAACUCUCAUCAGCAGUCUUCGCGGGCAAAACCAGCUUUCCGGGCCCCAGGCUAGGAAGACCGAGUUUCUGGAACCAUAGAAGGAGAUUCUCCAUGAUAACGAAGACAGCUGUGAAGGAAACAACAAACAGUCACAUCUCCUCAAAUGGAUCUACCUUCCGAUCUUUGAAAAUACUUUAGAGCCUCCAGUUGAAGUGUAAACUUCCCAGCUAAGUGAAGAAGAAGAUCUUGUCAUUUCUAACACUUGUGUAAAAAGAGAGGUUAUUCAACCUCAAGUGAGUAGUCAAAAUUAUACACUGUCAAAUAAUUUAUAA